GAUGAACGCUGGCGGCGUGCUUAACACAUGCAAGUCGAACGGAGUGGCGAACGGGCGAGUAACACGUGGGUGACCUGCUCUGCACUUAGGGAUAAGCCUGGGAAACUGGGUUUAAUACCGGAUAGUGUGGGAUGGGCUCGCGGGCUAUCAGCUUGUUGGUGGGGUAAUGGCCUACCAAGGCGGCGACGGGUAGCCGGCCUGGGCGGGUGGACGGCCACAUUGGGACUGAGACACGGCCCAGACGCCUACGGGAGGCAGCAGUGGGGAAUAUUGCGCAAUGGGCGGAAGCGUGAUGCAGCGACGCCGCGUGGGGGAUGACGGCCUUCGGGUUGUAAACUCCUUUCACCAUCGACGCGGUAGAUGGAGAAGAAGCACCGGCUAACUACGUGCCAGCAGCCGCGGUAAUUC
rnacentral:rRNA from 1 species